UUCAGUACUAAAUAAAUUGGCCCGGGGAGACGAUCAUUGUGUCCUGGAAGAAGCUGGUCAAGGAGGCAGACCCGGGAACCGCCCUCUUUGCACGCCCCGGCGAUACAGCCCAUCGUCGCCCCCCUCGCGGGGCCCUCUGGUGUUGCGAUGCAGGAAAAACUGCUCACCAGGAGCUUGAUGGUUUGAAUUUCAUGGAGGAUACUACUGUAGCUCUUACUAAUUUGCUGGCAUCUGCACUAGCAGAAAUCAAGUGUGUGGCCAGCAUAGUUUUUUCAUCAUUCAAUCCUCCACCGAGUUAUAGGAGGUACAUCCAACAGAAAAUGACCCAAAUGAUC